rnacentral:lncRNA from 1 species
CCUGUCUUUAAACAGAAUUGCACAGCUGUAUUUUCAAGAAGGUUCAUUCAGGGAAAGAUAGAAAGCAUAUUAUCUGUAAAGAGAUGUUUCAGGAACUUAAUAGUGUCCAAGUAUUUCAAACCUAGUGAUGCUGGUAUAUACUCGCUUCUGAAUAGGAAAGAGUUUGAUUCUGUUAAUUUUACCUGUUGUUGGCCACUAAUAGGGGAAAUCCGUUUGCAGGAUAAAAUCCUUAAUAAAUAGAAUUGGAAAGUGAGAUACAGACAUUAAAAACUUAAUAUUUAUGCUUAGACUUAAUUCUACAAACAAGUUAUGUGCACUUAAUUUGUAGGAAAUGGAGAUUAUAAAUAAUGGUUCCUGCCUUGGACUUCAUGAGGUGAGAGAAGAAAUUUUUACAGACAACAUAGAAUUACAGUGGUCUGAGAAAUUACAAAGAUGUUAUGUGAUCUUCCAGGGGAAGAAGCUAUCUUAAACAUAACUGUGUGUCAAUACUAGACCUUAAAUUAUACUACAGAGCUAUAGUAACAAAAGUGGCAUGGUAUUGGCACAAAAAUAGACUUGAAGACCGGUGGAACAGAAUAUAAGACACAGAGAUAUACCCACAUAAAUACAGUUGUCUCAUACUAGACAAAGGCACCAUAAACAUACAUCGGAGAAAAGAUAGCUUCUUCAACAAAUGGUGCUGGGAAAACUGGAAAUCCAUAUAUAGUAGAAUGAAACAUAAACACAUAUAGGAGGAAAGAUAGCCUCUUCAACAAGUGGUGCUAGGAAAACUGAAAAUCCAUAUGCAGUAGAUUGCAAUUGAACCCCUGUGUCUCAACUUGCACAAAACUCAACCAAAGUGGAUCAAGGACCUAGGCAUUAGACCAGAGACCCUGUGCCUACUAGAAGAAAAAGUUGGCCCAACUCUUCAUCAUGUUGGCUUAGAAAUGGACUUCCUCAAUUAGACUCCUAGGGUCAAAAAGUAAAAUCAAGAAUUA